GAUUGACAUGUAUUAUUUAGCUUAUAUAAGGCCGAUGAGGCUAAGAAAACGAUGUGGGUUCAUAAUCUGUGACAACAAAGUAAAGUAUUUGUUUCUCAUGGCUACUCCCAUCACUCUUGCCUUUCUCCCCUAUGUUUUUCUUUUUCUUCUUUGCCCUUUAUGCUCUCUGAAGAAGGGGCAAACCGUCGCUGCAAAUGAGACCACAAAAAGUUACUUUCGCCAUGUUAAUGUCAAUUCUCUCUUGCCAUCAAGUGUCUGCGACCAUUCUAACGAAGGUUAUAUCAUGAUUUAGCAUUCUCUGUAUUGUCUUUUAAUAUUUUGUUUUACACAUUACGAUUUAUUUCUAACUAAUUUCUAACUAUUUUUUUUUAUUUUACGUUUCUUAAUCAAUUUCAAUGCUGUAUUUCAGUUCUCAACAAAGCUUCGUCCCUAAAAGUGGUAAGCAGGUAUGGUCCAUGCACGGUGACUGGAGAUCCGAAAACAUUUCCCUCAGCAGCCGAAAUCCUCCGUCAAGACCAACUCCGAGUGAAAUCAAUUCGAGCGAAGCUUUCCAUGAACUCAAGCACUACUGGUGCUUUUGAUGAGAUGAAGACUACAGUUCCAACCACUCACUUUGGAGGCGGAUAUGCUGUCACCGUAGGUCUUGGCACACCAAAAAAAGAUUUCUCACUCUUAUUUGAUACUGGUAGUGAUCUUACAUGGACCCAAUGCGAGCCAUGCUUAGGGGGCUGCUUUCCACAGAAUGAGGAGAAGUUCGAUCCUACCAAAUCAACCUCUUACAAAAACCUUUCGUGUUCCUCGGAACCGUGCAAGUCAAUUGCUAAAGGUAAUCAGUAUUAUUGCUUUAACAAAUUCUAGAUUUAACAAUCAAAUUAAUCCGCAACCAGGUGAUUGUUAAAGAUAUGCUUUAUUUGGAGGUGACAAUAUAUUUUUAAAUCAUUAUUUGGAUAUGGUUCAUUUUCAAGCAUGUGUUUAACAUCCCUGCAGAAAGCGCCCAGGGUUGCUCUUCCACAAAUACAUGCCUUUAUGGAGUCAAAUACGGGAGUGGUUACACUGUCGGAUUUCUUGCCACAGAAACACUAACCAUUACACCCUCGUAAUAGCCAUGCAUGCAUUAACACAUACUGUACAGAUUUAACAUCACCCAUGCACACUGCAGCCAACCAUACACUGUGCUCACGGGAUACACACCAUGCAGCCACUGUAACAAACCUUGCAGCCAUUGUAACUAACCCAGCAUACAAUUAUAUCAGCAAAUCAGUUAGCUUAUGAUUAGGAAAUCUGUUAGACAAAUAUCCAGCUAUGUAUAUAUACCUACAGGAUGAAUACGAAAGAUAGCUUUUGAUCAAUACAAAAUUAUAGCUCAAUAUGGUAUCAGAGCAGUAAAAUUUACUCUCGUUCCUUCUCUUUUUCUCUUCUUCUCGUCAUUUCUUCUCAAGCCUUCAAUUAUGCCUGUCAACACUACUUUACUUAACACAAAAUGAAUCCCACGGCACAUUGAUUACCAUCAAUGUAGCAGCCCAAACACCAGUAAAACUCACCUCCACAAAUUACCUAGCAUGGAAGCUUCAAUUCCAGACUCUAUUCAUAGGAUAUGAUCUCAAUGGAUUCAUUGAUGGAUCACAUCCCUGCCCAGCCUCAUCCAUACCAGGAACAACUACACCAAAUCCAGCACACAAUCUGUGGAUCAGACAGGAUCAACUACUCCUCAAUGCCAUCCUUGGUUCUUUAUCACCCACAAUCAUGGCCUUCAUAGCUCAAGCACAAACAUCAAAGGAAGCUUGGACAAUAUUAGCUAACACAUAUGCUAAACCAUCACGAGGCAGGAUCAAGCAAGUUAAAAGCCAGUUCAGACAACUCACAAAAGGAUCCCUGGGUGUUUCUGAAUUUCUCCAAACCAUCAAAGCCAGAGCAGAUGAGCUUGCCAUUCUCGGAGCACCUGUUGACAUUGAAGAUCUAUCUGAACGAAUUUUAGAAGGACUUGGCUCUGAAUAUACAGAGCUAGCCAGGGCAGUCCAAGCUAGAGAUACUCCAAUCUCUUUUGAUGAGUUACAUGAAAAACUUCUCAAUUUUGAAGCCUCCAUCCACAACACAACUCAACCUUACUUUCCUGCUUCUGCACACCUAGCCAACCGUGCCUUCUCUGGUUCACGACCCCUGCCACAUUCCAACUAUUCUUCUAACAGAAACACUGGCUGGCGCCCAACCAACACAUAUAAUCCUCGUUCUUCUCAACCUUUCUCACCUGGCCCUCAUAACCCUCGACCACCUCAGAAACCAUACUUUGGCUUCUGUCAAAUCUGCAGAAUCCAGGGACAUACUGCUAAAUACUGUCCAUCCUAUAAACUCAUACCCAUUGCCACUCCAACCAACACCAACAACAACUCAGGACUCCUAAAACACCAUGGCCACCAAAGGCGCAUUGUGCUACCACUUCUUCACACAACAAUCCAUGGCUGUUGGACAGUGGUGCAUCCCAUCAUAUUACAUCUGACCUCAACAACUUAUCCAUUCAUACUCCAUAUGAUGGGGCAGACGACAUUAUGAUUGGUGAUGGAACAAAUCUUCCAAUCACACACACUGGUUCUACAUCUCUACUUCACUCCAAUCAGAAGUUUUUGUUAACUGAUGUUCUCUGUGUUCCCACCAUCACCAAAAACUUAAUCUCUAUUUCUAAAUUCUGCAUCUCCAACAAUGCUUCAGUUGAAUUCUUACCAUUUUUCUUUCUUAUCAAGGAUCUUCACACAGGCGCCACGCUUCUGAAGGGUCAAGCUAAAGAUGGUGUCUAUGAGUGGCCACCCUCUGCACCACUGGUUGCAUUCUCCAGCAUCAAAACUACCUCAUUCAACUGGCAUCACAGAUUAGGCCACCCUGCUCUUCCUAUCUUAAAACACAUUAUCUCCAAACAUGCACUUGAUUUAGCAACCUCUAGUAUGCUGCAAUUUUCCUGUAAUGCAUGUAACUGCAAUAAGAGUCAUAAGAGUUCCUUUUCCACAUCCACUCUUACCUCCACCCGCCCCCUUCAAAUUGUUUUUUCUGAUGUAUGGACAUCUCCCAUUCACUCAUCUGAUAGAUACAAAUACUAUGUCAUCUUCAUUGAUCACUUUACAAAAUACAUCUGGUUUUAUCCGUUAACCCAUAAAUCACAAGUAAAAGAUGUAUUCCUUCGGUUCAAAGCUUUAACAGAGAAGCACUUCCAGCAACAAAUCCACACCUUGUAUUCCGAUAAUGGUGGAGAAUACAUAGCACUAGCUAAUUCUCUUGCACUUCAUGGUAUCUCUCACCUCACUACUCCUCCUCACACACCUGAACACAAUGGCUUCUCUGAACGAAGACACCUUCACAUUGUGGAAACCGGCUUAACUCUCCUCACUCAUGCUUCCAUUCCUUUACAUUUUUGGCCCCAAGCUUUUGCUACUGCUGUGUACCUAAUUAACAGAAUGCCAACACCGACCUUGAAUCUAUGUUCUCCAUAUGAAAAACUAUUUGGAUCCUCUCCCAAUUACUCAAAACUUAAAGUAUUUGGGUGCCUCUGCUACCCCUGGCUUCGUCCAUAUACUUCCCACAAAUUAGAACCUCGAUCUAAACCAUGCGUCUUCUUUGGUUACUCAUUAACACAAAGUGCAUAUCUCUGUUAUGAUCCAUCAACAUUAAAAGUUUUUGUUUCACGUCAUGUUAAGUUUGUAGAAUCCAUUUAUCCUUUUUCCUCCACUUGCUCCCAAGAUGCACGUCCUGACUCCUCCACUGUCACUACAUGGAUCCCUCAGCCCAUUCCAAUCAGCAGUAUCACUCCAGCACUCAUAUCACCAUCUGCAGGUUGCCCUCACCAGCACCACCACAGUGAAGGUCCCUCAGUUCCCUCACCAGCUUCUGACUCAUCUGUGAUAAACACAUCCCAUGCUCCCACUCAAUCUUCCUCCAUUUCCCUCCCUGAUGACCAACUCCCUGCUCCUGGACCCAAUCAUCCCAUGCAAACAAGAGCCAAGAACAACAUUCACAAACCCCUUCACAAACUAAAUCUUAAUACCAUGCUAUCCACACACUCUGACCUUGAACCAACCACUUCAUCACAAGCUCUUAAAGAUCCCAAAUGGCGUCAAGCCAUGUCAGAAGAAUUCAAUGCUCUUAUUCAGAAUGGCACUUGGCAACUUAUUCCUGCCAGCUCCAACCAGAAUGUUGUGGGCUGCAAAUGGAUUUAUCGCAUUAAAAGACAUUCUAAUGGAUCUAUUGACAGGUACAAGGCUCGGUUGGUAGCAAAAGGGUUCCAUCAACGUCCUGGGCUCGACUACUGUGACACCUUCAGUCCGGUCAUCAAACCAACCACCAUCAGACUUGUGCUCAGCCUCGCCAUCAGUUCUGGAUGGCCAUUACGCCAGCUUGAUGUAAAUAACGCAUUUCUCCAAGGUACACUCACUGAACAUGUGUAUAUGCAUCAGCCACCUGGCUUCAUCGACAAGGACUUUCCCUCCCAUGUCUGCAAGCUUCACAAGGCCAUCUAUGGCCUCAAACAGGCUCCUCGUGCCUGGUUUCAUGAACUUCGGUCAUUUCUCCUUCAGUCAGGGUUCCACAAUUCCCAUGCAGACACGUCCUUAUUUGUUCUUCGACUUGGCCACAAUCUUGUUUACUUACUUGUCUACGUUGAUGAUCUCAUUGUUACUGGAGAUGAUAUCAACUUGGUCAAUCGGUUUAUUACUCUAUUAGCUCAUAGAUUCUCCCUUAAAGAUCUUGGUCCCCUGUCUUACUUCCUUGGGAUUGAAUUUCUUCCCACCAGGCAAGGUUUUCUAUUAUCUCAGCGUCAAUACUUACUUGAUCUCCUCACUCGCACCAACAUGACUGCAGCAAAAUCUGUCUUCACUCCACUCCCAUCAGGCACACCAAUAUCCUUACACUCUGGUGAACUCUUACCUGAUCCAACAGAAUAUCGUUCUGUUGUAGGCAGCCUCCAAUAUCUUCUCCUCACCAGAAUUGACAUUGCAUAUGCAGUGAAUAAACUCUCUCAGUUUAUGCACCAACCAACGACUGAUCACUGGGCACUGGUCAAACGCCUCCUGCGUUAUCUCUGUGGCACUCCUGACCUUGGUCUCCAUCUCUACUGUGAUUCUUCUUCAUCCCUGCAUGCUUUCUCUGAGGCAUUACAUGCCUACUCCGAUGCUGAUUGGGCAGGCGACCCCGACCAUUUCUCAUCUACAGGAGCAUAUAUCAUCUACCUUGGUCGCAAUCCCAUCUCAUGGAGCUCCAGAAAACAGAAAACAGUUGCCCGAUCUUCGACUGAGGCCGAAUACAGGUCUGUCGCCAACACUGCUGCAGAGCUAAAUUGGGUAUCCUCUCUGCUGUGUGAUCUUGGUCUUCCAUUGCCAACAUGUCCAGUCAUUUACUGUGACAAUAUAGGUGCCACUCAAUUAUGCUCCAAUCCUGUUUUUCACUCCAGGAUGAAGCACGUGGCUAUCGACUUUCACUUCAUCCGUGAUCAAGUGCAAAAAGGGACUCUGCGUGUUGCCCACGUAUCCUCCACAGAUCAGCUUGCUGAUCUAUUGACAAAAUCGCUUCCCAGAGUUCGGUUUCUACUUCUUCGUGACAAGAUUGGUCUCUCCUCCCGAGCUCCAUCUUGAGGGGGGAUAAUAGCCAUGCAUGCAUUAACACAUACUGUACAGAUUUAACAUCACCCAUGCACACUGCAGCCAACCAUACACUGUGCUCACGGGAUACACACCAUGCAGCCACUGUAACAAACCUUGCAGCCAUUGUAACUAACCCAGCAUACAAUUAUAUCAGCAAAUCAGUUAGCUUAUGAUUAGGAAAUCUGUUAGACAAAUAUCCAGCUAUGUAUAUAUAUACCUACAGGAUGAAUACGAAAGAUAGCUUUUGAUCAAUACAAAAUUCUAUAGCUCAAUACCUCGGACGUGUUCGAAAACUUUGUGAUCGGUUGUGGUGAAAGGAAUGGCGGCACAUUCUCUCGUACAGCCGGUUUGCUAGGACUAGGCCGCUCCCCUAUAGCCUUACCAUCACAAACUUCCUCAACAUACAAAAACCUCUUCUCUUAUUGCUUACCAGCAUCUUCAAGCUCCACUGGUCACCUCAGCUUCGGUGGUGGAGUCUCACAAGCUGCAAAAUUCACUCCAAUAACCUCAAAAAUGCCGGAAUUGUACGGCCUAGACGUUUCUGGAAUUAGUGUUGGAGGUCGCAAACUAGCAAUAGAUCCAUCAGUUUUUAGGACCACUGGAACGAUAAUUGACUCUGGCACAACACUGACAUUUCUGCCAUCCACAGCACACUCUGCUCUCAGCUCGGCUUUUCAAGAAAUGAUGACAAACUAUACUUUGACAAAUGGAACAUCCGAUUUCCAUCCAUGCUAUGAUCUCAGCAAGCAUGCCAACGACAAUAAUAUUACAAUACCUCAGAUCAGUAUCUUCUUCGAAGGUGGGGUUGAAGUGGAUAUUGAUGAUUCGGGGAUUUUGAUCUCUGUGAAUGGUCUGGAAGAGGUGUGUUUAGCAUUCAUAGAUAAUGGUAAUGACAAAGAGUUAGCAAUUUUUGGAAAUGUUCAACAGAAGACAUACGAGGUGGUCUAUGAUGUUGCUAAGGGAAUGGUUGGAUUUGCUCCUAAAGGUUGUUAGCUCAAAUUAUUGAGAAAAGUGAAUCUAGAGCUAUUACUCACUAUCUUUGUGCUUUGCAUAGUAUGGCCUUUCUUUUUCCCAAAAUAUUGAAGGCAUCUUAUAUAACUUGUAUCCAUUGGGGCUAUUAUAUAUAUAUUCUCAACAAAUAUAUACUUAAUUAUAUUUAGAGAAAGCAUUACAGAAAAAAAAAAAUUUUAUUUGUGUGUUUGUUAAGAUAGAAUUUAUUCGAGAUUAAGAGGCUGCGUUUUUAAAUAUUUUUUUUAAAAAUUAAUUUUUAUAUUUUUUAUUUUAAAUUAUUUUUUUAUAUUUUUAAAUUAUUUUGAUAAUGUAAUGUAAAAAAAAAAUAAUUGUAUGCUAAUGGACACGGAAACUAUGUAAAACACUUCAUUGGGUGAUUGUUUUAGCCAAUGAUAGGUUUAGAUGAGAACGUUCUUUGCUAGAAAGGUUUGGAUAAAGUUUUUGAGUGUAAAGAAAAGUCGAGGAUGCUGACAGAUGACAAGUGGGAAGAGAGGCCAAUGAUAUUAUUACCUUGACAUCGACCCAUCCCUAUUAACUGAAAAAAGUAGGAAUCCUUGUACAUGAUUAAGUUAUUAACAAACAAACUCUAUUUCUGAAGCACCAUUUUUGGCAAAAUUCCAUCAGUAAAAUCCUCAUACAUACAAUCAACUUUUAGUUCUCAAACGGAUUUGGGUCAAUUACUAGAGAUGGUUUGUUUUUAUGUUAUAAGUUGCUUCUUAAAUUAUUUUUUAUCUGAAAAAAUCUUAAUACAUAUAAUCAACUUUUGGUCAUAGAAAGGAUUUGGGUUAAUUACAAGAGAUGGUUUGUUUGUAUGUUAUAAGUUGUUUUUUAAAUUAUUUUUUGUUUAGAAAAAUAUUAAAUUGAUAUUUAAAAAAAAUUAAAUAGUUUUGAUAUUCUAAUGUUAAAAAAAUUUUAAAAAAAUUUUUAAUAUAUUUUUCAUAAAAAACAUAUUUUUAAAAAACACCCUACAUCACAUUAUCAAACACCUAUCACUUAUACAUUGUGAUUUAUUUUAUUUUAUUUUGGCAAUUUAGGGAUUCUCUUUGGAUUUGCUUGCAUUUUAUUUGCCAUGUGCACUCAAUUCUAUUGAAGGGUUAAAACUCAAGUUUUGGAUGGUCAGGAUUGUUAGCACGGUCACAUUAUUACAUUAUUCAAUGCCACCCAGCCAGCUUUUAGUGGAUCCUAUAGCAUUCAAUUUCAGCCCAUCGAAAUUAAGAAUUAAUUAUAAGUUAGUCCUUGUAGUUUAUUGAAAUAAAUUAAUUAGUCCAUGAGGUGUGAGAAAUUGUUAAAUAGUUCUUGUGGGUUUCUAUAUGUUAACAACUCAGUCCUCCAUCUUUAUUUUGUUAACAAAAUGUUGAGAUGUCCAAAAUUUAAUUAUUGUUUUUUUAAAAAAUAAGCAUUGCUUUAUUCGGAUUUUCCAAUAUAAUUUUAAAAGUAUGGUGGCUUUGACAGUAGCGGCAGAAGGAAGUUUCCUCUCAUCAAAUUAUCUAUAUAUGAUUCUUUUUCAAACAAAUUUAAAUGAAUUUCUUUUCUUUUCUUUUUCCUGACUUUCGAGUUUGAGAUAACGGAGUGAAGGGGAAGGAUUUAAUCCAAAAUCAAGGACUUAAUCAUGUAAUUUUGUGAUACAGAGACUCAAGUAAACUCUAUACUUAAAUAACCUUCCUACCAUCGAUGAACAUUCUCUUGCUCUAUCUCCUCUAAUUUCCUGCCAUGCUAUCACACCAAAACACGUGAUGAUCAGAAUUUAUCAGUUUUUUCAACAAUUUUUUUUUUUUUGCUUGAGCUCAUUUUUAUGAUGGUUUAGGCUCAGAAGGGAUUGAAAAACUGUUUUAGACCUAGGCUCGUGGAUAGGGCCCAAGGGAGCGCUAGGUCCACUGGCCUAGCGUGUUUUUAGGACUAGACGUCAUGGCCUAACACCAAUCUUAGUUAUUGUUUGUGCCCAGGCUUGUGGCCUGGCCCAACCCGAACUCCUUAGUAUUUUUUACUAAACCCAGGUUUUUUAGUUUUGAUCCAAAAUGUUAGGGGACUUCAUGCAUCCUUUCCUUUCUCUAUGGAGUUGGGUAUUUUUCAACUCAUUGGAUAUAACGCAAGGGACUUAUUCUUUUUGGAGAAAUAAGGGGUGUUAUAAUUGGAAAUCUCGGGUAUCUCCAAGAUCUCUUUUUUUUCUUUUCUUUUCUAAUUUCUCUCUUCUACUCCAAUUAUUGUGAUAAACCUAUUUCUUUUUCUCUCCUCUCUACUUUAAAUCUUACUUGGUCCCAUAAUUUUUAUAUAAUAUUAAGUUUAGUUUUAUUAUUAUGAUUAUUUAGGAAUUGAACUUAUUUUUAUUUAAGUUGAACAAAAAAUAUUUUUGGAUGAAAAUUAUGGCCACCUACACCUCUAUAUGUACAAUAAUCUCUUAUGGCCUAUCAUAUUUUUAUUUCAUUAAUACAUUUAUAAAAAAUAUUUAUCUUUUAUUCAUAUAUAUAUAUAUAUAUAAAAGAGAUAUUUUAUUUUUUAUUAAUAAAUAUAUAAAGGAUAUAUGUCCCUUGUUAAUGUUACAAUGAUAAAAUAACUCUUUACAGUUUAAACCUUUCAUUCAAGCAAAAUAACAAGGUUCAUGCGAUAUAAAUAUACCUCAUAAACCAUCAAGGUAAAAUAUUCAUAAUUUUUAUAUUCUUAACAUAUGGUUCUUAUUAUUUACAAAGAAGACCUUUUUACUUUAAAAGGGUAUUUAAUACAUACCAAAACAAAAACAAACAAUCAAGUUCUUGAGAUUUAAUGAUUUAUUGUGAUCUCUCUAUAAAUAUAUUAACUUAAGCAUUUAAAGAUCCUUACAUCCACCAAAAAUGAACUAUUUUAUAGGUAUAUUGUCACCUUUCUUAGAUGUAGAGAAUGGAUCAAAUACUAACAACACUUUAUUAAACUCGUUAUCCAACCACCCAAAAAACUAUAUUCCUAAAUAUCUUGGAUUUUGAAACAACAUCACCAUCCAAAUCAUUUCUACAACCUUUAAAUAUAAUUUUGGCCACCACACCUCAUCUCCAUAUAAAGAAUAGACCCUCAGAAAAAUAUAGCUUGAACACUUUUUUAAAAGUCUUAAGAACUGAAGCUUUGAAUCUUCAAAACACUCGGUGGUGGUUGGACCCUAAAACAUAGCAAUAAUAUUGAGCUUCUCCAACAUGAGUUUGGAGAAAGAAGGGAAGGAGAAGGUAAAGUGAGAAAUAUAUUUUUGUUUUAUCUUUUUAUGAGAAAGUAAGUAUUUAUAAUAACAGCUUGAUCAUUAUAAAUUUCUUCUAGGUUUUAAAUAAGUAUUUUAGAUUUUAAAAUUUUAAUAGAUUCGGUAAUAACUUGAUGGUAAACCAUAGUAACAUAGAUAUCAACCAAAUGUUGAGAUGUUUGUUUAAUACUUUGAUAAUCUCAUAAAAAACAAACUAAAAUAAAUUAUGAAUACAAUUCAAAAUCAACCAAAUAGUAAAUAAUAGAAUUCAUAAAAAAAAAACACCAAAAGGAUUCAAUUGAAAGAAACAUAAUUGGAAUAUAGAAUUUUUUUUUUUUUAAAAAGGGACUAUUUAUCUUUGUUUUUAAACAUGAUCUAGCGGGUCAACCUUGAAACUAUUCGACCUGACUUAUUGUCUAACCAAAUUUAAAAUUAAUCAACAUAGGAGUUAACUCUAAGUAAUCUAGUUGACUUAGCAGAUCCAAAAGCAAUCUAGAUGAUCAAUGAAAGUAUCGUACCCUCGCGAGGGCACAACACCGCAGAGACCUUUCCCGAAGCGGGGAUCAUGUCAGGGUCUGUGUUUCAUGAAAAAAGUCGCUACCUAUUAUUAUGGUCACUAGGAACUCUAACUGAUCCUUAAAGAUUCUAAGGCAAAAGACUGGUUGCGUAUGUCAUAACCCAAUUCUGGGUCAUUCCCUAAAUUUUGAAAAUAAAAUUAAAAAAAUAGAAUAAAGGCUGACACUGUGGAGGAAGCUGAUAAAAAAAAAGACUGCAAAAAUAGGCAAAAAUUGAAGGGCAAAUUAAAUGCAUAUUCGAAGGUCAAAUUAAAUGAUUAUUGGAUGAAUUUGCAUAAAAAUGAAGUCCAAUGACAUAAUUAAAUUUUUAAUGGGCCAAUUUGAUUUAAUCAUGGGCCAAAUUAAAUUUUAAUUAUGUUUAAGAAUUAAUUUAGGUCCAAUUGAAGGAUUUAAUUAAGUGCAAGGACUUAAUUAUACUUUAAAUGAGUCAAAUUAAUUUGGGGGCUUAAUUGGUGAAAAAUUAAGUUUGGGAGCUUAAUUUGGACUGAAUUGAAAAGAUUGAAAUUUUAAGAUCAAAUUUAAUUUUUACCAAGUGAAUUGAACACAAAAAUUGAGGGACCAAUUUGGAAGCCCAAAAAAAUAUUUUGCCUAUAAAUAGCAGUUUUUAACUCAAAGUUAAGGGGGGUUAAUUUUAUAAAGGGGGUAAUUUUGACACUUUUAAAAAUAAAAAACGCAGGAAAAGACUAUCCUUCACACCAGCCGCCGCCCCCGCUGGUUUUCAUUUUUGGGCUCCCGGAGCCGCUCUCCCGGUUUGAUUUUCCUGACACAAAACCAGCCGGACUCUGCCCCUUCUUUCCUCGGUUGGAAAAUUUCUACCAUUCUCUUUUCCCCUCACAAAUCAGCCACACAGCCGCCUGACCUUGGCCAAAAACCAGAGACGACCUUUUCCCCUCUCCCGGCCAAAACACAACCCUUUUCCUCUAUGUUGAAAAAAAACAGAGCAAGCCGCCUGACCUUGGCUUUUCUCCCCGGAGGCCGGCCAUUUCAGAACCAUCCAGACCCUCUCCCUCUUAGCCAAGAAGCCUCCAGCCCACAGACCAGCGGUUAGACCGGCGUCCACCGAACCCCAAACAUCCAGCAGCAGUGUCUCCUUCGCCAUCAGCAACGGCUGCUCCCCCUUCGGUUUCCUCUCUAGUUUUCCCCAUCUUCACCGUCAGCCGUAGCGGCGCCUACCCUCACUUCAGUUGCCCACCAUUUCGGCAAACCAGCGGUGUCUCUACAUCAGCGCCGCCUGAAGAAACAGAUCCACCAGCCGCCUGAAACAGGUUCAGCAGCGACGCCUCCUUCCUCAGCCGCCCGAUCUGGCACCCGAAGUGGAGGAGAAGAAGAUGAAACCCAGCACCCACUGAAGCCAACCACUUCUCAGCUCCGACCGGCCUCUCUCGCUCAGCCACCGUGGAGUAAGCCUCGUCCACAGAAGAUCCAAAGCAAAGGGCCAACAAAACCAUCUCCGGAGAAGAAGAAAGGAACCACAGACAGAACAGAAAAAUUAAAAACAGAUCUGAAACAAAAAAACUAAAAUCAACUGCUUUGUUUGCGUUUUUUUUGUGUGUUUGCAGGUGACCAGACCCUCACCGCCGGCAAAAAAUUGAAGAGGGGAGGAAGCCGUUCCAUGCACCCCUGUUUGUCAGGUUUUCUAGCGGUGGGGCGUGAAUCCACGUGCCGACAGUGACGGAGGCACGUGGGAAGACGCGCCGCCACUGUUCCCCAGCACUGUUCCAGCUUGCAGAGGGGCAUUCAUGUAAUUUCAGAUGGUUUUGAAACCAUUAUUGUAAUUUUAAUGUAAUUUUUGUUUAUUUGUUUUAAAUUUGUAUUUUGUGUAAAUGUGAAUGUAAAGAAAAAAAAGAAAAGAAAAGAGUAAAUAAUAAUAAAAAGAUGUGUGUGUGUUGGUGUUCUUUUUUUUUUAUGUUUUAGUUAUUGAAUUAUAAAAAAUAAAAAAGGACAAAAAGAAAAAUGUUUUUAAUAUUUUAAUGCACAAAUUCUAAGGAUGGAUAAAAUCAUGUUGUAUUUUCCAUGAAAAUGUAAGAACAUGUUUCUACAUAUAUUCUGAGAAUUAAUAACUGAUGUAUCGAAGCCUUAGAAGUGGGCUAAAAUUUUAUUUUUUUUAAAUUACAUCAAGCUCAUGAAGCUUGAAAGUGAAUGUGCGGUGUGUGUUUUGUUUGUGAAGGUUUUUCUAUGAUAAGACGGCAAAGAAUAAAGAAGGAUUUAAUAUUUUGAUUGGAUCACGGUGUAGAAGUACAAACUUGUACGGAAGUUGUAUUUCUAAAAUCCGAUGAAAAGACAAAAUUUUUAAAACUUCUUUAACACAUCAAGUCCACGGAGCAGCUUACCUCAGGUAGGGUGCGUUAGGGGUGCUAAUACCUUCCCUAACCACAAUCAGUCCCUUACCCGCGAAUCUCUAACCAUGACCAGUCCACCAGGGUUUCCUAGUAACCUCAAUUAAAUACUAGGUGGCGACUCCUAACGAACCAAUUCAAGCAAUCCAAACAACGAGACACAAAAUCGCCAGCCGAUGCCGCGUGCGGGAUUUUCCGACCUGCGACAGCAUAAAAGGAAAGUUUUAGCACUCGUAGUACGCCUUACUUAAGAUAAGCUGCUUUGUGUUUGGUUUGUCUUAUAAUAUCUAUGGUGUUGGUGUUUUCUAAUUCUAUCAGUUUCCCUAGGCUAAUUUUGCUACGAUGAACCCAUAGAAAGAACCCCUGGCUAAUAUGGAUCCAACCUUUAGAUAUAUCCAUAGAGUGCCAGGAAGAACCAAUGCAGAUCUCUUAAAAUUUGUGUUUGAUUCAAACUAAAUUUAUAACCAGUGAAUUAAGAGACAGCUAAGAUAGAAAUCCAAGAAAAUUCAGUGUGUUUAAAAGCUCACUUUUCCUUUAAUAUUUCAAGUAUUCGCGACUUGAAAUCGCAAAGAAAAAAACGAUGUAAGAAAUCUAAGGAAAUUCAAGGCACUUUAAAAGCCUAUUUUUGCCUUACUAUUUCAUAUUUUCAUGACUUAUAAAUCAUGGAACAAAAAUCAAAAUGUUUCCAAUUAUAAUUGAAACUUCCUUCAAGGAUGUGCAAUUAAAUUGUUUUACAUAAUAUUUUGGGCAUAAUAUUUUUUUACUAGGGCUAAUCAUUUACUAAUUCCCUCUGCAUGCUACAAAUGAAUUAAAUAUUCUAUAACUUUUGUAUUUCAUUCUUAAAUUAUUUUUUCUUUUCUUUCUUUUUUUUUGUUUUUUUUUUUCAAAAUAGUUUGAGCUUCUUUUGUUUUGCUUACAGUACAUUUAUGAGAGCAAUGUACUCCAGUGUUAUUUCAUCUUCAUUAAGGGUUACACAUCGACUUUUAUAGUUAUUCUUGUCUUUCUUGUCUGUUUUAUGAACUUAACUUUUAUGAACUUAUUUAAAAUACAAUUUAAAAUUAAGAGAUCGAGAUACAGAAAAUUUGAUAGAGCAUGUAAUGUCAAAUGCAAUAACAAUAUUUAUGUUUUAAUAUUAUGAAAUCACAAUGCCAUUGUCAUGCCAUUAAUUCCUUCAUAAUGUAGGAUCAAAUUCAAUAGUGUGAUCCCAAUUCGAAUUUAUCUAUCCCACAAGGCAAAUCCAAACCAUCGUUUCCGUGGAGGCAAUAUUUAUGCUCUAAUAUUAUGAAAUUACGACGCCAUUGCCAUGCCAUUAAUCCCUUCAAAAUUUAGUUUCACAUUCGAUGUUGUCCAAACCCAAAUCACCGUAUCCCUCAAGGCAAUAUGGCAGCUGGAAUUGAUGAAACUUGUAUGGUCAAAUGAUAAUUGAGAAAUGCCUUGUCUUGCCUAUCAAAAUUUCAAGUCUUUCAUGUAUAAUUCGACUUUUCUUCCAAUAAUAAAACAAAUGUCGAGCUAGGGACCUUAAUUCGAUCAACACAAGUGAAAGAUAAAGCAGCCAUAACAAUUAAUAUUGAGUGGGGGGGGGGGGACCGAUAUAUUUGCAUGUAUUAGCGGUUGAUUGGCUAGAGAAAAAAGUUUUUUAAUGACCAUGCAAUCCCUCCGAUGAAAGCUCGAAGAUUAAGUCUCUCGAAAAGGAUAUGUGGGGACUAGUUAGUGGAGCAGAGAUAUUGAGCGACAAACCGAACGAGAUAAGGUGUGAUUUUAUGAUUGUGAAUGAAGCAAGAAUUCCACAGGGUGAAGAAAAAUAUCAUAUAUCACAUGUUAGAUUAUAGUCUUGCUUUGGCUUUAACAAGAUGGAUUAAUUAUAAGCAAGAAAAGUCAACAAUGUCUUCCUCAAUCGUAUUCCACAAUAAGUGAGACAAUUCACCUUGACUUGCUUUUCUUAAGGUUGGUCUUGUUGGUGUAGUUUGCAAGUGAAUACAGAAGAAUUUAUAACCGAGUUUAGCUUAAUUACUCUACUCUUUCUUCAAUCUUGGCCGAUUUAAAGGUUUAUAUUCGAAUAGAAUGCUUCUCAGGACUUACGUGCCUCUUUUUCUUUAAUAUUAUCCGCAUUCCUUGGAGUGAAAGACUAGCUGGAGAGGAUCCUGGCUUGCCUCACUUCCAGGGAUGCUUCGCUGCUUUCAUUACUCAGUGACAUAAGGCCACCCGUGGAGAUAAGGCGCUCUCUCUCCCCGCCAUGAGAAAAAUAUUCUUAUCUUGUACAGGAAAAAAAAUAUUUAUUUCUAAAAGUUUGUCGGUGUAGGUUUUUAUUGUGUAGUAAAUUUAGUGAAAUCUAUGAUGAAUAAGCUUUUCUCACUACCAAAAAUUCGCUUAAUAGCAAUGGAUUUACCGACGAAAUAUUUUUGUCGGUAAUUUGAGGUUGAAAUUACGGAUGGAAAGUUCAAAUUUUUUUAAAAAAAGGCGGUUCGCUGACGUGGAGCUUUUGGCGAGUGAUUUUUACUGAUGGAAUCACCGACUGAAUCAAAAUGAUAGCCCCGUACAGUGACGUGACUGGUUCACCGUUUAAAAUGACGACGGAAUCACCGAGGGAUUCGAAAUGGCAGAUCUGUACGGUGACGUGUUGAUUUUUCCAUCAGAAUAGCCGACGGACUCACCGAUGGAUUAUUCCGUUGGUGAAACCGUCGGAAAAAGUUAAUAUAUGCCCUCUUUGCCGACCCUCUCCUCACCUAUUUCUCCUUCUUCUUCCUAAUCCCAACUCUCCCCAUCUGCAAACAACCAGCCCCCAAACAAAAAUCUCCCUCAUCUCAGCACAACAAGUUAUAAUCUUGAAGUUUUGUGGUCACAACAUCCGUGUUCUGAUUUGCCGACGGAUUUUAUCAAUUUUUGUAAGUAAUUCUAUCUUUUUAAAUUUUAACAUUUAAAUGUCAAUUUUAUUGUUUUUUUAGUAUAUGCAUUUUGUUAGUAGAUGUACAUGUUUUAUUGUUAUUUCUCAAACAAACUUGUACUAUAUAAAUGUAUAAUUUUAUACCUGUUAUGGUUUGUUUUAGAUUUUGUAAGAUUGUAUUUGUUUGUAAAUUGUUAAAACUUUAUGGAAUUACCAAAUUACAUGUGUUGUUUUAAAAUAAUUAAUAACUUGCUUAAUGGGUCCGUUUUAAGUUUUAUCAAUGGUAUUGCGGAGUGGUAAUUUCCGUAAAUUUAUUUAUAUUAAUUUGUAUGGACGUUGAUAAAUGAUAAUGAAUAUUUAAUAUUUAUAAGAAGUUGUGAUUGGUUUGUUGGAUAAUCUCGAGGUAAACUAAUAUUUUUGCAUGUUUAUUUACCUAACUUAGUUAAUUAAUACAUGAUGUCUGAAGAUGAUGUUAAUGCUGAACCACCUAUUCCUAGAAGACAAUACCUAACAAGAAGUAAGGCAACUGCUACUUCUGGCCGAUCAGAAAAGAUCCCACAAUAGAGUCUCAACAAAUCAUCUUCGACUGAGACCACGGGCAACAUAGCCUAUGCUUCCUCACCCUCCUUAUGAUGGUUACUCAUUUUGUAUUAGAACUUGUUAGUUCUUUAUGUUACUACUCUUGUUAGCCUAUGUAUUGUUAUUGUAUUCUGGACUGGUGGCCUUCAGGUCUGUGUUGUUAGGAUGCUUCAUACAUAUAGUAUGGUGGCUUGGUUCUGUUGCUUAGAACUUGUAAGUUCUUUAUGUUGCCACUUUUGUUAGCUUGGUUCUGUUGUGGUAGUUUUCUGCCUGUAGUUCUUCUGGAUAGGUGGCCUUCGGGUCUGUUGUUAGGUUCCUGGAAAUGGUGUCCUUUGGUUGCUUCCUUAAUGUUGCUGGCUUUCUGCUGGAUGGUGGCUAGCCUCUGGUUAGCUAUUGUUUUAUCAGCUGCUGAUGAUUGUAAUUUUUUGAAGUGAUUUGGCUAUCUCAUGAUUUACAUGAGCUUGCUAGUCUUGUUGCUGCAUUAUGCAGGUUGUGUCUUCUUCCAUACUGCUGGAGUAGGGUUGCUCAAGCUGCUGUUAAGGAAAUGGUCAGCUGAUCUGCUGGUCGUUUCUGGCUAUUGGGUAGCUUCCUUGAUGUUGCUGGCUUACUGCUGGAUGGUUGCUAGCUUCUGGUUGUGUCACUCCUCUUCUGCUGGAGCAGGGUUGCUUAAUGGUUGAAGGAAAGAAUGUUGCUGCUAUGGUAAUGGUCAGCUGAUCUGCUGGCCAUCUUAUGUAUUUUUAAUAUUGUUCUACUGGUCUUCAACUUGUGUUUUCUAUGGGGAGCCUAUUCCCUAAUUGUCUUUAUGUAAAUAUUCUAAACUCUACUGGUUUCCAGCUUGUAUUGCAAGCUUGCCUUGCUUUUUUUUUUUUUAUCUAUAUAUAUUUCUUACAUUUGAUAAAAAAAAAUACAUGAUGUCAUCAUAAUUUUAUAGAGGUUCGAUAUAAGUCAUGGAUGAUCAUUCAUGGCUGUAUCGAAAUUCACCCCAAGGAUUGCGGAGGAUGGAUUAUUGUAAUGGGGUUCGGGGUUUCAUUAAUUUCUCAACAUCUAUUCCCAUAAAUUUUACUGGAGGCGGUAUUAGGUGUCCAUGCAGGAAGUGUCAAAAUAAAAAGUAUCUACAUCCAAAUAUUGUUGUAAUGAUGCAUCUUCUUCACAAAGGGUUUAUGGAGAAUUACCAGUGUUGGUAUGCACAUGGAGAAGUAUUUGUUAGUAAGAGGAGAAUGAGAGAAAUGAUGGUUAGGUCAACUUCUAGUGCUAGCAACGUGUAUGAAGUGGAAAAUGACAACACUAAUCAUUACAAAAAUAUGGUUAUGGAUGCAAUGAGAAUGAAUCAAGGUAAUGUCAGUCAAUGUCCAAUCAUAAAAGAAGAACCUAAUGCAGAUGCAACUAGGUUUUUUGAUUUGUUGAAAGAUUCUAACGAACCAUUAUGGGAUGGAUGCACAAACCAUAGUAAAUUAUCGGCUGUAGCACAUGUGUUCACCAUCAAGUCAGAUCACGGGUUGAGUGAGGCCGGGUAUGACAAAAUUAUUGAAUGAGCGAGAAGCAUUUUACCUGAAGGGAAUAGGCUGAAAGAGAACUUCUAUGCUGCAAAGUCCAUGAUGAAACCCCUCGGUUUAGGAUACCAUAAAAUUGACACGUGCCCUAACUUCUGCAUUUUAUACUACCUUGAAAAUGAUGAGAUGACCGAGUGCAUGACAUGCGGUCAUUCCCGUUACAAACCCAGAACUGCCAAGGGAAAGACUCUAGUGGCAUAUAAAAAACUUAGAUACUUCCCGAUCACACCUAAACUGCAGAGGUUAUUCAUGUCACCAAGGACUGUGAGAGUUUGUAAACCUGAAUAUUUCAAGAAGUAUUCUGAUAGACCUUGUUAAGAAAGUUUACUAAGAUGUGUCUCAAAAGUCGCUUUAACAGAAGAACAUUUGACUGCACCAACAUCUCUUUUCUAAGUUUGGCCUUCUCUUUGUCCUUUUAAUUUCAAUACUUGAACUCAUCAAUCAAUCCUUUCAUUUAUGUUAUAGGCCUGCAUUUAAGAUGAACAUUUACUAUAAAUUAAAGGUAUCUUAUAUUAUUAGGUAUGUUAUUAUAAAACAUGAUUUAGUUAAGGAGUUAUUGAUACUUCAAGUGCAAAAUGAUGAUAUAAAACCUUGAUAAAAAUGCACUUUUAAGUACUAAUCAGACUGCUGAGCACAUGACAUGGCACCAAGCACAUGAUGCGGUUGAUGGAGUGAUGGUGCAUCCUUUUGACGGCGAAGCGUGGAAACGUUUCAACAGUGUGCAUCCUCACUUUUUCAGUUGAAUAAUGGAAUGUGCGUCUUGGGUUGUGUAUAGAUGGAUUCAACCCAUUUGGGUCAUUUGCUACUUCUUAUUCUUGUUGGUCGGUCAUACUCAUAGUUUAUAACUUGCCACCGGGAAUGUGUAUGAGGCUGGAGUUCAUGUUUUUAUCUAUUGUCAUACCCGGUCGAAGUAGUCCGGGGCGGAAUAUAGAUGUUGGUCUUCGACCGUUGAUUGAUGAGUUGGCACAAUUAUGGUCCUCUAGAGCUCUGACUUAUAAUAUAUCGAGGAAAUAAAAUUUCCUUAUGAGGGCAGCUUUGAUGUGGACUAUCAAUGAUUUUCUAGCUUAUGGAAUGCUUUCUGGUUAGAGCACGCAUGGGAAACUAGCAUGUCCAUACUGCAUGGAAAACAACAAGGCAUUCACGCUAGCAAACGGAGGUAAAGCUUCUUUUUUUACUGUCACUGUUGCUUCUUGCCACUUUAUCACAGGUACAGAAAGAACAGAAAAGAUUUCUUUGUUGGCAAAGUUGAAAAAGAUGUUGCGUCUUUCUGGUGAAGAAUUGCAUGAUGUUGUAUCAGAGUACGGUGACAUUGUGUUUGGCCUUCAAUCCGUUAAGCAAAAGUUUCCUGGUUUUGGUUUGACCCAUAAUUGGGUAAAAUGAAGUAUCUUUUGGGAGCUUCUUUAUUGAAGACCAAUCUGCUCUGCUAUAACCUUGACGUCAUGCACAUUGAAAAGAAUGUGUUUGAGAACAUUUUCAACACCAUCAUGGAUGUGAAAGGGGAGGACAAAGGACAACAUUAAGGCUAGAUUGGAUAAAGCUUUAUACUGUAACCGUAAAAAUAUAGAGUUGGUUUAUGAUGAGUCACGGGUCACAAAACCAAGAGCAAACUUCGUGUUAGAGAAAAACGCACAACUGCUAGUCUACAAAUGGCUUAAGAGUCUGUGUGUUUUCGGAUGGACAUGAAUCGAACAUAUCAAGGGUUCCUAGUGACUAGAAUACUAGGUGGCAACUCCCAUUUCAUUUUUCCACUGAUAAAAGACAAGAAUUCCUUGUCUUUCCAUGUUUGCCAAGAUAGACAUACAUACCACACCUGAUGAUGGGGGCGGUGGGCUAUCAUCGCGACGCCGUACAUGUGCGACAGAAUGGCGACUCCACUGGGAUCUUGUGGACUAAGCAUUGUUGUCUGAUUUUUAUGUCUGGUUUUGUGCGUGCUUGUCAUUAAGAUGCUUAUUUUAUUUACACGCUUUAAUUUUUUGUGUAUAUUUGUUCAUGCAUUGUAUAUAAUUAUUUCAUGCAUCAUUCUUUUUAUGUGAGAGUUUAUACGGAAAAACAUUAGGUUAAGUAGGGACUAACAACUUACCUUAAGACUUUUAGUCAAGGUUUAAGUUUGUGUAAACCCCAACUCUUCGCUGAGUACUUAGACUGAUAAUGAUUGGUCUAUAUGCCAUCCCAUUAUCUACUGAGCCUCCAUAUUACCUUUACGAGGGCAAUCACUGGGACAACAAGAGGCCCUUUUUAGAGCCUGAGUAGUCAACCUACCUUUUGUCUCAUAUAAAAAGAACUAGAACUUGACUUUAAGGUGUAUGUUCCCUACUUUUUGUUUUGUAUCAAAACAAACCCUUCUCGAAGCAUCUUGAACUUAAGACUUAUGGGUGACAUAAUGGUCGUCACUUAAAAAAAUUUCAUUGUAGAGUUUGGAUAAGAAUCAAUAUUUUUAUUUCAUCAUACAAAAGUUACGACCAUAUGUCACCCUUUGAAGGGCAAGUUUAUCAUAUAGAAUGCUCGUCAAUUUGGAAUAAAGGCCCCCCAAUUCUGUUUUCCCUUCCAGAAUCAAGAGUUGUCGACAUCCAUCAAUGUCAAGAACGAUUCGAUUAAGGCUCCAAUCAAGAAACAUAGCUUGUGGUAAUAAGGUUCUCUGUUCUGCCAUGGAUUCAGCUAGUGACCUGUGCCGAGAUGCCAUCUAUGAAGUGCUGACAUGCUCAUCAAUGGAGACUGUGGGGAAAUGUAUGCUUUUAUCUAAAGAGUACAACAAGUUGACCUACGAAACUUUUUUCGCAAAGCUACACAGCCAAAGAACCAACAUUGUCUCUGGUUUCCUUAUCCAAAGCAUGAUCAGGAACAAAUAUCAGUUUUCCUUUGUUUCAACUAACGGUUUGAAUACCCAUACACAAAUCUCCUUUUAUUUUCUUCCAAAGCACGUAGAGAUUGUUUCAUCAUCAAAUCAAGGAAUUCUACUUUGUCGCGCAUAUAAUAAAUCAUGUUAUUAUGUGAGCGACCUUUAUAUCCAAUAAUGGCAAAAGAUCCUAAAUCCAAAGACACGAUAUGAUACCAUAGAAUCUAGCCUAAUGAUAGAAAGGUCAAAGCCUUUACGAUACAAGAUUGUGAGAUUCUUAAAGCCCAAGUUUCACUCACAUAAAGAAUUCUAUAUGUACCACUGUAUCAGAGUCGAGUUGUUUGAAUCAGCAACUUGAAAAUGGAAGUUGUUGGACGAAGUGAAGUUGCCUUAUGAAGAAUCUCUUUGUCGCAUGACAAAAGUAUCUGUAAAUGGCUCACUUCAUUGGCUUACUUGGAAGAGAAACGUCUUUGUAUUUGAUGUAAAAAGAGAGUCAUUGUUUAUUCCCACUUCCCAUGCCAGCCUCUGAGGGCAAUAAUAAUAAAGAUGUCAGACUCACUGAAUAAAAAGGAAAGCUCGCCAUGACCUGUAUCGAUAGGGAGAAAAUUUCAUGGAAAUAUGGAUCAUGGAGGAUCAUGACAGAAAACAAUGGAGAAAAAAGCAUUCGAUAAACAUAGGGGUUUUAACAAGGAAAAAACCCCACAUAAGUCCUUUGGCCUUCUGCAAUGCUGAUGUUAUGCUAAUGGGAGAAUAUUUCCCUGAUGUGAUAUUCUUUAACUUUAAGACUGGGCACAUUGAUAUGCUACGAUCAGGGAAGGGUCUGCUCCAUGGAUGCUUCCCAGUUGAGCUCACGUUUGCCACAAAGACAAAGGCACAAUUAGUUCAUUGCCCCAAGGCAUAGUUCUCUAGAUGUAAUAAUCCAAAUGAGAUGUGAAGAAUUGCAAGAAAUUCAAAGAUGAAGUCAGAAGGUUGGUAAGCAAGACAUAGCCAUAUUUUGUGAAGAAUGACCAAUGAAUGAUAACAAGACAUGUAUAACCGAUGAAGAAGCUGUUUAGAAAUAUCAUGUUAUCAAUUUUGUUGCCCAUCAUUUUGUUUUGGGAUCACAUCUCACUUUUUAAUGGAAUGUACUUUAUUAUUAGUCUUAUUAUUGUCUUGAAAUAAAGAGAUGUUUCCUUCAAAUUUUGUUUUGGCAAAAUAUUUUGAUCGAACUCCAACACGCAAAAUUAAAGUCUUUUGAUUCCAGAAAAGACUUGAUGUUCGUUAAAAUGGCAAGAGAUGACCGAACUAAUCUUGAGCUCACACACUACAAAAUUGAACCACACAUCAUAUAGCUAAGUUUUAGCAGUAUGCAUAAUGACAUGUAGUAGAUUCAUCAGUUAUGGAUUCACAAAUCAUGACUCUUUACAAAUCCAAAUCAUUCCACUGGAUGAGGUUAAGAUUUAUCAGUUUUAACUGACCUUGCUUGAAAUGAAAAAAGAUCAUCUUUGUUAUCCCUUCACUUUCCAAAGAUUAUAUCCCUUGUGGUUCCCAUUUGAACCUGAUAGAAUAUUUCUUUCAAAGAAACCUUGACUAGGAUCACACCCCACACCGGGGGCAAACAAGAGAUAUUUUGAAGACAAUGAUAGAAUCAAGAGAAAAGAGAAGGAUAGGAACAAAAGCCUAACGUUUGAGAUAGGGCUAAAAAAAAAACAACAACAACAAAAUAGGCAUAGACUAGGGGGCAGAAAAUACCGAUGUUGGUUAUUCUUUAUCAUCCCAACAAGUAGUAGUGAAGAUGGGUGCUGGAAUCAAUCAUGUCACAGUUAUUUGACACAACCAAAGCCAAAAGUCAAAGACCAAAAGGGUUGAGCUACAAGCAUGACUUUUGAGGUCCGUGAUAAAGCCUCUAGUGUCUUCAAAUUGAUCAAGAUUGGUGAUUCCAAAAAAAAUUUUAUAACCCUUGUAAACAGAAAUUCGAUUUUGUCCUUAACAGGACUUUAUGUCAUUCCUCUGCAACGACAACAAGAGAAAAGGAGUUGGAUAAUUGAUGAUGAUCCUAGAUCUUUGAAACCCUCAAACAUAUUUUGAGCCGAUAAAAUCCCUUUCUUUCAUAGCCAUAAACCAUAGCCUGCAUUACGUGCUUUGAAAAUCCCUUUUUGAUCAAGUAAGCAAUCUGAGCCGAUAAAUGCCACUCUCAAAGCCUGAAGAGCCUUUUCAUAAGAGUCAUAACUUCAUGAAUUAAGCUAUUAGUUAUUAUGCAUACUGAUAAAAUAAGAGCUAAAAAAAAAAAACCCUCUCUUGAUAAAGCUUGAGAUUUGACAUGAGCAUCUUUGAAAUUCACACAAAGGUCACCUCAUCACAAACCAUCAAAAGAUAUACCCAAAAUCAAAGUCUAAAAGGGAUACAAAGAACCAUGGAAAAAAAAGCCAUUUUAGUCUUACAACGGGUCAAUUUCAGUUUUCAAAAUACAUGACAAUAAAAUGACUUUAUAUUUUGAAUAACGUGUUUUGGGUUUUGGACCAAAAAAGCUUGAUUUUUCAAAAGAUCUUUUCAAAAUUAACAUCUCUUUGAUUUCAUUUCAACAAUUAGACUGGUAUGGACAUAAUCUUUGAAAUGCGAGAUUUGAUUCCAGAACAAGGAAGAUUAUCGAACACAGAAGAACAUCGAUUGAGUAUGUGAAAUCCUUGAUAAAAAUGACAAUGACGCUCCUUGACACUCCUUGAAAAGUUAAGCAGCUGAGGGGAAAUACAAUGAACUCGGAGAAGGAAAAACAAGCAUAUUCAGAUCAGCUAUAAGGCAAUGAAAGAUGAUUGAAUGAUGAAUCAGUGAACUGAAGACAAUGGUGUCCAAAGAAAGAUAAUCAAUGAACGAGCACAUUCAGAUCAUACUAGGGGCAAUGUCAUCCAUGCUCUGGUGAACCCCAUCAGCAAUUGAGAAACAAAUAUGUACCUGAAGGACGCUUUCAUAUCAUCAUCUUUUGAAACAUGGCUAGCAAUAGAUGAGGAUACAUGAAUGAAUGGCGAAAAGAUGCAUACCACCAAGACUAACUAUGGAACAAUGCUGCACUUGAAGGACAAUCUCAUAUUGUCAUCCUUUGAAACAUGGUUAUCGACAAACGUUAUCACACAACUGUAUUGAAUGAAUAUCGGAAAGGCACUCAUCUCGAAGACUAACUGUGAGACAAUUUGUUUUGAAGCCAAAUAAGCACUUCACCGCAUGAGUAUGGGUGAUAAAAGCAACAUCAUUGAUGAGGCCAUGACAUUUCUUUUCACAAUCUGAUUAGAAGAGCUGAGAAGAAUCUAUUGAGAAGAACACUGAGCAUACAACCAUGAGCCUUUGUGUUGCAAGCUAUGAGAUACAUGUCUGGAUGAUUGGAUAGUUUCCAAGAAGACUAAUGAUAACAUAACUUGAAGAGUAUUGUUUCAACUGGAGGCAAGUCCAUGACUGAUUGGCAAUAAAAAAUGAGGUUAAACACUUGAAAACCUCUUGAUGGGUGUUGGCAAAACAUGCACAACCAAUCAAAGGACAAUUCUUGAGAGAAUCUAGGAGAUGGAUGAUUUGUUCAACUCCUUCAUGAUGAAUCGAGCAACACCACACUUGGAAGCAUGAUCAAGCUUAAGAAGCAAUGAGAACAGUAAUCAUCACGGAUAGCCCAUGAUAGGCACUACACUUACAUCUGAGUGAAAGGCUAGCGCACGAAUGAGCCAGUACAUUGAAAGAACAAAAAAAGCUUUAAAUAACAAAAAAAGGCACCCUAUGAUGAUGGAACAUUGAAGAGGGGGCACCUAUAUUUCAAAUCAGGUAAGGAUGCAUGCAUGCAUAUCAUCUAACGCCGAAGCAUUGCAUAUAUUUUUGAUUUGUUGCAGGAAAAACUCUCGUUAGUCCAGCAAGAUUGGGGACAAAGAAAGAAUCAUUGAGUUGAUGAACAAUAAGAAUCAUGGUUUUGACCCUAGAACGGGAGGAAGAUGAGAUAAACCUUAACAUUAAGGAAAUCUCAAAGAAAUAAGAAGAUAAACGAAGAAGAGUCUUCAAUUCAAACCUAUCAUCUUAAAGAAGAAACAUAUUUUUUGGUUAAAGUUGAUUGGCAGAAGAGAUCUUAGGUUAACCAUCACAUGAAGAUUUUAGCUUCGGUUGAAAGGAGUUGCCAGAUAGGAUUCUAGGUUGACCGAGCUACACAUAGACUUUGGUUCUGGUUAAAGGGGAUCGGCAAAGGGAUCCCAGGGUAGCCUAACCACAAAGGAUUUUGGUUCUGGUUAAAGGGGAUUGGCGAAGGGAUCUCAGUUUAACCUAACCACACACAGACUUUGGUUCUGGUUAAAAGGAGUCGGCGAAGGGAUCUCAGUUUGGCCUAACUCCACAAACUUUGGUUCUGGUUAAAGGGGAUUGUCGAAGGGAUCUCAGUUUAGCCUAACCACACACAGACUUUGGUUUUGGUUAAAGGGGAUCGGCAAAAGGGAUCUCAGUUUAGCCUAACUACAAAUAAUUUUGGUUCUGGUUAAAGGGGAUCAGCAAAGGGAUCUCAGUUUAGCCUAACCACACACAUACUUUGGUUUUGGUUAAAGGGGAUCGGCGAAGGGAUCUUAGUUUACCCUAACCACAAAGGAUUUUGGUUCUGGUUAAAGGGUAUCGAUGAAGGGAUCUCAGUUUAGCCUAACCACACACAAACUUUGGUUCUGGUUAAAGGGGAUCGGCGAAGGGAUCUCAGUUUAGCCUAACCACACAUAGACUUUGGUUCUGGUUAAAGGGGAUCGGCGAAGGGAUCAGUUUAGCCUAACUACAAAGGAUAUUAGUUCUGGUUAAAGGGGAUUGGCAAAUGGACCGCAGUUUAGCCUAACAACACACAGACUUUGGUUCUGGUUAAAGGGGAUCGGUGAAAAGAUCGCAGUUUAGCCUAGCCACGAAGAGAUUUUGGUUCUGGUUGAAGGGGAUUGGCGAAGGGAUCUCAGUUUAGCCCAGCCACAUAUAAAUUUUGGUUUUGGUUAGAGGGGAUCGAUGAAGGAAUCUCAGUUUAGCCCAACCAAGUAGACUUUGGUUCUGGUUGAAGAGGAUUGAUGUAAAGGCAGAGUUUUAGAUCAACCAAGUUGUGACAAGAUCAAUUUUGGAAGUUCACUUUUGUUUAUCUUUACAAAACUUACUUUGCAAAGUCUUUGCUCUGUAAGUAUUGUAAAGAGGGGGCAUCUGUUGUAACCCAUUUUUAGGUCCCCGCACAAGAAAAGAGAAAAUACAAAAAAAUAAAAUAAAUAAAAAAUGAAAAAUGAAAAUGAAAAAAAGUAAUUUAUCAAAAGUAUAUCAAUGAAAAGAGGAUGCUAGAGCACAAAAAAAAAACGGUCAAAAUUGGUUAAGGAGGUUCAAAAAAUACAAAUGUUGAAAUUUGAUAAUAUAUCAUUGACCAGUGAGAGCCCUAUUGAUUAAGAAAAUUUUAUUUGAGGAAGAAAAGUACAAAAUCAAAUGUUGAUGGACUGAAUUAAAUUUUAUUGAAGGUUUAAUUGAAUUUAUGGAGGGUUGAUUGCAGGAAAAAAAUGUUUUUAAGUCAAUUUGGGUUUUAAUUGGAAGAAAUUAUAAUCCUGGGGUCAAAUUAUAAUUUUGGAGAGUUGAUUUUGUCAAAUUAGGGGCUUAAUUACAUAAACAUUGAAGUUUGAUGGCCAAUUGGGGACUUAAUUGAAGAAAUCCAAGACCAAUGACCAAAAUGCAAAAUGCGCGCAAAUUGAAAGAUUGACUUGAAAUUUGGUGCUUUGGCGCCAGUUUUCAUUUAAAUGAAACGGCACGUUUUAAGCAAAAUGACGUCGUUUCAUGCGUUUAAAAAAAAAAAAAGAGAUAAAACGGUGUUGUUUUGAGGUGGCACUGUUUCUUCUUCUUCUUCCUAUGGAUCUGCAACAGGGGAAGAAAAGUUUUGUUUUUCUUUCCUUGUUUCUUCCUCUCUCCCUCCUUACAUGCCCUGUUAAAACCAAAACCGGACGCAACCCGCAUCUCCUCAUGAUGAGAAGACAGAGAAGUCAUGUCCCACAAGCGACACCUCCAUUGGCCACCUCUGUCAGCGUCGUGGCAAAGCAGGAGGCAUUUGCGCCCCAUUCAUGGGCAGCGAUGGGACGGGGCAGGGUCGACCCCGCUCCCCCUUCCCCUAUAAAUAUUGUCCCGAAAGGAAGAAAGAGGGAGGACAAAAAAUGGGGGGAACGAAUGUGAGAGAGAGGGGGGAAACCAAACAGAAUAGAGAGGGAACUAGAAGAAGAAAAAAAGACAGAGAAGGGAGAGGGGACAGAAUGAAGAAGACAACAUAGAGGAAGGACGGGAGAUUAGAAAUAGGGGGAGGAGGAGUUUUGCUUUAAAAAAAAUGAACGGACAAGCAGACGGCGGAGGAGAGUUUUUGGAGUAAAACAAAAAGGAAAUUUUAAGGAGAAAGCCGGUGAGACAUGAGGAGAAACAGAGGGGGAGGACAGAAGAGGAGAGACAGAGCAAAUAAUAGGGAGACAAAAAAAAAGGCCUUUGCACAGGGAAGAAGAAAAAACCAUAGCAACGCUGCCUGGAACCACUGUUUGCCACCGCAACGCCACUGAGAACAGUCACCAGCAUUGUCGCACGUCGAAAAAUCCGCGCGGCAUCGGCUGGCGAUCUUUAUCGUAUGUUGCAUUGCCUUGAAUUCGUUCGUUGGAGUCGCCACCUAGUAAUUCAUUGAGGGCUACUAGGAAACCUGAUGUACUGGUCUUGUCAGAGAUUCGCGGGUAAGGGACUGGUUGUGGUUAGGGAAGGUAUUAGCACCCCUAACGCACCCUACCUGAGGUAAGCUGCUUCGCGAAUUUGAUGUGUUAAAGAAGUUUCAAUAAUUGUCUUUUCAUCGGAAUUUAGAAAUAUCACUUAUAUAUAAGUUAAUAAUUCUUAACCGUGAUCCAAUCAAAAUAUUGAAUUCUUCUUUAAUAUCUGCAAUUUUAUCAUUAAACAAAAUAUAAAAAAAAUAAAACAAAUACAAACACACAUAUUCACUUUCACUAUUUUUUAUUUCUUUUCUUUUCUUUUCUUUUCUUUUACAUCCACAAUACAAAUACAAAUACAAAAUAUAAAUUCAAAAUAAAUAAAUAAAAAUUACAUUAAUUAAUUUAAAAUUACAAAAUAGUCCCUAAAAUACCCUAAGAUUCUUGGUGUGAUGGUUUCAUGCUUAAAGGUUAUGCUCAAUAUGUUAUUUGCAUGAAACAACAACAAAAAUGAAGGUAUGUUAUAAACACAUGAUCUUAUUAACAAGAAAGGCUCAUUUGACAAGGAAAGUGUUGUGGAAUUUUGAGCCAAGUUACCAACAAAAACUGGAAUAGGUUGAAACAAAAAUCAAGAAAUUUUGCAGGCGUGAUCAAACUAAGGGUUUUUUUUUUUUUUGCAGAACAAGAAUAGGCUCCAUUAUGCACCGGUAGUGCAAUUCCCCUUCGGUCAGCCUUCCCACCAAAGCUUUUGCAGAAAUACAUCAUUGUGUUGAGGCUCUUGACCAAUGUUUGCCCCUAAUUUCUUCGGGCAGAGUCAUUGUUGGGUUUUGGAACAAAGAUGAUAGGUCGGUUGGAAGGAAGUUUCCUAGAGUUAUUUUUCAGUAUUUGCUCGAGUAAGCUAGAAGCAAGUCACACAUGUCUUCAAAAAUUACGACGAGCAUACUCUUCAUCUUCCGUGUUUUUUCUUUAUUCAAAGUUGGGUGUUGUAGACUCGUAGGGGACCUACUUUUCAUUCUGGUGCAUGCAUGAAAAAUGUAUGAACAUGUAAUCUAUAUGAUGAACUCACCCUUCGAGGGGUGACAUUAUGGUCGUAACUCUUGUAUGAUGGGGCAAGAAUCGUGAUUUUUGCCCAAACUCUACAAUGAAAAUUUUUGGAGUGACAGCCAAUGUGUCACCCACAAGUCUUGAGUUCAAGAUGCUUCAAGAAGGGUUUGCCCUUAUGCAAAUAACGAUAGCACAUACAACUUAAGGAUUGGUUCUAUUCAUUAUUGAACAUGGGUAAGUUUCUAUCUUGUCUCAAAAGGGUCUCAUAUCUGCCCAGUGAUAUUCUUCUUAAAGACAGUAUGGGGGCGUUGCAAGGAAUGGUUAAGGCACGUAUACCCACCAUUACCAAGCAGGCACUCAGAUAUGAGUUGGGUGUUUCACGCAUCUGAACCCUGACCAAUAGUCUUAGGACAGAUCGCUAGUUCCCCACCUAACCUAGAAGCUUGUGUGUGCUUUCAAAAAAUAAAUACAGGUGAUGCAUGAAACAAUUCUAUAAAAUGCAUGGAAAAAAAAUAUUAACAAAAAGAUAAAAAUGCAAAAACUUAAACACAUCAAAUACACAAAGCUUAGUCCAAUAAUGUUAGAAACAGUACCUUCCCCAGUGGAGUCGCCAUUCUGUCGCGCGUCAAAAAAUCCGCGCGGCAUCGGCUGGCGAUCUUUAUCGUAUGUUGCAUUGCUUUGAAUUCAUUCGUUGGAGUCGCCACCUAGUAAUUCAUUGAGGGCUACUAGGAAACCUGAUGUACUGGUCUUGUCAGAGAUUCGCGGGUAAGGGACUGGUUGUGGUUAGGGAAGGCAUUAGCACCCCUAACGCACCCUACCUGAGGUAAGCUGCUUCGCGAAUUUAAUGUGUUAAAGAAGUUUCAAUAAUUGUCUUUUCAUCGGAAUUUAGAAAUAUCACUUACGUAUAAGUUAAUAAUUUUUAACCGUGAUCCAAUCAAAAUAUUGAAUUCUUCUUUAAUAUCUGCAAUUUUAUCAUUAAAAAAAUAUAUAUAUAAAAAAAUAAAACAAAUACAAACACACAUAUUCACUUUCACUAUUUUUUUUUCUUUUUUUUUUUUCUUUUCUUUUCUUUUACAUCCAUAAUACAAAUACAAAUACAAAAUACAAAUUCAAAAUAAAUAAAUAAAAAUUACAUUAAUUAAUUUAAAAUUACAAAAUAGUCCUUAAAAUACCCUAAGGCUCCUAGAACAUGUAGGAACAGUGUACGGGAACAGUGCUGGAAGGCUUCUGGGGCAGCAAACAGCGGCGGCGCGUCUUAGGACCACGCGCCGCCAUACUCAAUGCCCGGAAACAACCGGAUCUGGCUUGCUUUCUUCUUCUCUUCCCUUCCUUGCUAGUUCUUAGGACCACAAUCACCUACAACAACAAUAAAAUCGCAACAAACACAGUCGAUCCUCCCCAUUUUGAGAUCCGUUUCUUCCCCUUUGGAUCUGCUUCUUCUCUACAAAUCUGCCUCUUGUUUUUUUUGGUUUCGCCUUCUCGGUUUCGGGUAGUUGGUAGAAAGACCAAGAGGCUGCCGGCGACUGGGCUUCUAUCGCGUCUGUAGCUACUGGCUGCCGGUUCGGGUUUUGGCGACGAUAAGGGCAUGCGGGGUUCUAGGCAGCGUUCUCGGUGGCUGAGGAAGAGGCCGGUUAGAGCUGGAGCCACCGGCGAUGAAGAAGAGAGAUGGGGUUGUCUUGUGGAUCUGUCGGGUGGUCUGUGGCCAUCACUGUUGAUGGUUGAGAGGAGCGCCGCCGGUUCGACUAAGAGAGAGGCACUAUGUUCACAGGGGAAGAUGACUAGUGUGUGGCCAGCUGAAAACCGAUUGGCCGGUCGGUCAGCUACCUCUAGAAGGCUGGUCGAUGGAGACGGGGAUGGCGUCUGGGAGAGGAAGGAUCUGAAAUGGUGAAAACCGGGGGCGGCUUGAGCCUCUAGUUUUUUUUUUUUUUGAGGAGAAAGAGAUGGGGUGCGCUGUCGGUGAAGGAGAGAACCGGCUAUGGUGGCUGCUCCGGUUUUGUUGGCUAGAAAAGGAGAAGAAAAUGGGGAACGACGUAGAGAAAUGUGGGGAUCUGAAAUGGUGGGGGUCCUCGGCUCUCUGGUUUUGGGAGAGCUAAAAAACCGAGGACCCCGGGGACAAAAAUUCAAAAUCAGUGGGGGGAGGCGGCAGCUUAGGUUUUUUGUGGUUUAGGGUUUUUUGUUGUAUUUUCUGGUGUUUUCAAAAUUAGCCCCCCCUUGAAUGUGUUGAGGAAACCAGUAUUUAUAGGCAAAAUGUUGCUAGGUUUUUCAACUUGGUCCCUCAACUUCUUUCUUUUUUGUAAAUUUUGAUUUUUCUUAUUUUUUUGUAUUUUUUGAAAACGAGCAAUAUCAACGUCGACUCAAUGAGAAAAAUCAAUGAUUUUAAAAAUAACGCAUGAAAAGUUGAACGCGUUUGAAAAUCUUUAAAAAAUUUAAAAUUUUUUUUAGACGACGUUGAAAAUGCUAAAAUGACGAAAAUAUAUUAAAAAACAUAUUUUUUUUGGAUUUUCUUUGUUUUUCUCUAUUUUUGAAUUUUUUUGAAAAUAUAUCAAAACAUGGGUCAAAAAAUGGGUAGCAACAAGCAUCACCAUCAGCUGAGCCAUCCAAGAUCAUCCCCUCAAGUAAUUCUCUUCCCCACUUAUAGUCGCUCGUCAUUGUUCAUCUUCUUGCUGCUAAACAUGCACUCUGCACGUUCUGCAUGCAAGAAGAAUAAUUAGCCCAUCCCACACAGCUGGGGUGAGUCCAGCCCUGUAGAAAGGAGGUCUGAUUUCAUUUUUGGGCUGGUCCGACCUAGUCAAAAAAAAUUUCAAAAAAUCAUUUUAGGAAAUUCAAGUCUUUUUUGCAUGUUUUUCUACGUCAUUUUUAUUAAUAUCGGUCUGUAUUUUUAUAUCGUAAAGAUACAAAUCCGGUAUUAAAAUACCUAGUUUUCAAAAAAAAUAUUUUUGUUUUCAUGCAUACGGCCAAGUUUCUCAAAGUUAAAAAUCAUAUUGUAUUUUUAUACAAGAAAGAAAACUUCAAAACAAAUAUACAUAUAUUAUUUUACCAUGCAUUUUGGCUUUAAUAAUCAGUUUAUUGAAGUCAUGAGAACCUGACAAAUAUUUCAAAAAAAUAAAAAUAAAAUAUUUUUUUUAGUUUUAAUGUCUAGGAUUACGAAUUUAUACAUAAAAUGUAUUCCUGAUAUUAAAAAGGUAGUUCUUUUAUAGACAUUAGACCAGUUAGGUUUUUACCUCAUAAGAUAAGAACCUCUUUACUGAGGAAGGCUUUUCUUGAAUCAUAGCCGGACCAACAUGACAAGACCUUAGAUUUUUAUCAGACAAUAAAACAAUGCAGCUUACCGUAGGUAGGGAAUAUUUGGGGUGCUAAUACCUUUUCUUUACACAACCAGUCUCCGUACCCAAUCUUUGAGACCAGUUAGGGUUCCUAGUGACCAAAAUACUAGGUGGUGACUCCCAUUUCAUUUUUCCACUGAUAAAAGACAAGAAUUCCUUGUCUUUCCAUGUUUGCCAAGAUAGACAUACAUACCACACCUGAUGAUGGGGGGUGGGCGAUCGCCGGGACGCUGCACAUGUGCGACAAGGACCUACUAAUCACAGAACAUCUGCUCCACUUAAACUAAUUUUUAGUGAUGUUUGAGGCCAUGCCCCCAUUUUCUCUUCUGAUGGUUUCUGAUAUUUUGUGAUCUUUAUGGAUAUACAGAUAAAAUUUAUUUGGUUUUAUCCUAUUGGUGCAAAAUCUGAUGUGUUUAAUGUGUUUCACCAAUUUCAAGUCUUGGUGGAAUGACAAUUCUCUUGCAAAAUAAAAUCAGUUCAAACUGACUAGGUGGCGAAUAUCAUAAAUUAAAUUUCUUCUUUAAAACUGUUGGUAUUCACCAUCAUAUCAAUGAAACUGGUCUUACAUUACUUGGGCACUGUAAAGCACCUCUAAAAUUUUGGAAUUAUGCGUUUGAAACUGCAGUUUAUCUUAUUAAUUGUAUGUCGACACCAGUCUUACAAAACAAAUCUCCAUUUGAAUAUAUGUUCCAUCAAACACCUAAUCAUGUCUACAUCUCUUGUAAUGUUCGUUUUCAUGAACAGUCUUUUCCCUUUCUUGAAACUGCACAUGUUUCUGCUAUCUCUGACUCUAACCCAUAGUCGGCCCCUUCCUCCCAUCUUCCUGCCUUAACGCACUUCUUAUCCACCAAAACACCAUCAACCUUGUCUAAACAGGUCCCAUUACCACCAAUUGUUGCUAUGUCUAUUGAUCAUUUUACAGGUUCAGGUUCUGCAGCUCCGAACAGCACAACCCCUAGGUUUGUUGUGCCCUCUGAUGCACCUUCUGUUACGUCUUUUGGUGAGCAAUCUAGCUCACCGUCUAGGCCUUCAUUUUCCUCACAAUGUCCUGCUUUGUCUCCGAUAGCUUUAGAUAUUUGCGUUGAUCUCUCCAACUACUCCCUCUCACAGCAGCCCAUGCCAGACAAAUCUGUUGCACCAGUGGUCUCUUGCCAGCACCAUAUGGUGUUGCGUCCCUGACAGCCUAGGUUUGCCAACUUGAUUUCUAUUUCUUCGUUGCAGCCAAACUCACGGGUAACAUGUUCUUCUGAUCAAAAACCUUUAAAUUUCAAAGAUGCUAACCGGUUUUUAUGAUGGCAGUCUGUUAUGAGAUUUGAAAUUGCAGCCUUACAUGCCAAUAAUACUUGGUCUUUGGUUCUAUUUGAACCUUCUAUGAAUGUUGUUGGUUAUUGUUGGGUUUACAAAAUCAAGUGACGGACCAAUGGUGUUAUUGAUCGCUACAAGGUGCGUUUGGUUGCGCUUCUACUCUACUUCACUGCCUUCUUAGUCUGCUGAGUUCAGAGUUUAAACUCCGGGAUCUGGGUCAUGCUCAUUAUGUUUUAGGAAUUGAGGUCACUCCUACCAGCAUAGGGCUUAUGCUUAGUCAACACAAAUAUGUUCUUUAACACGAACAAAAGUUGAUGUCUUCUCCCAAGUGCAGGAGUGUCAAAGUAAUAAAUAACCCGGCAAGACCGAGGUCGAACCACGGGGAGGUUAACUAUAUAAAUUAUAAAUAACAACAACAACACAACAACAACAACAACAACAUAAUAAUAACAAUAACAAUAACAAUGACAAUAACAAUGAUAAUAAUAAUAAUAAUAAUAAUAAUAAUAAUUAGUAGUAGUAGUAGUAGUAGUAAUGAUAGUAAUAAUAGUACUAGUAAUAAUAAAGAGGACUUUGAGAUGUAAGAUUAAUGUGAAGAUUAAACAAUGAUAAAAACAAAUGUCAAGAUUAGAGGAUCCACUAAUUGUACUUCAAACAACUAUAGUAUAAACUCUUAUUACUCAACUGGAAACCACACACAAAGGAGGUUCCAAUCAGAUUAUAAAUUGUUAACAUGAUUACAUUAAUUAUCUUAUUCGAGUAAUGCCAAUACUUGUAAAUAUUAUCAGGUAUUCAUGGUGAUAGCUUAUGUUAACAACAAAUCAAGUUCCUUUCAUAGCAUAGGUGUAGGUUAUACCAUACAGUUGGGCUAUGAAAGUGCCAAGCAUUUGUUGUACCAAGGGUUGUUCAACACAAAUCUAGAUUAACAAUUUGACAAGCAAGGUAUUAAGAGUGAGCAAGAUAAUAAAUAUAAAACAUGUUAGUAUCAAGCAUUAAAGUCCAUGUUGAGUUUAUACUAUACUUAUUCUUACACCAUUAGUGUAACAUUUUCACCUUGACAUAAUAGAUUUAGCUAAACAUAAUGAAUGAAAGAAACAUAAAUAAACAAGAUAAGAACAUAAUUUUAUAAGUAAAGGAAAGGAAAUGACAAGCAGAAACAAGAGAUUAAUAUAACAUAAAAUAAAACUUAAACAUUACAAAAUACAAAGAAAGAGAGCAAGAGCAUAAUCUUGAUCUGAACACCAAAAUGUCUAAAUGCAUGGCAAAUGCCUUGUUUUAUAGGCCAAAAUUUGGAACCAUUGAUUUGAUGAAUAAAUGUUGAAUGGGUGGCCACAUCUUGACUUGGAAAGAAUCCUUAUCUUCUUGUCUGAACAAAACGUCAUUCCUAACGUUAGAAUUUGAACCACCUUUACCAUGAAAGUUCUAGGAAAUUGUCAUAGCUUUCCAGAAAAACAAAAUUGAGGUCAUUUGGACUUCUAAAACUCGAGAUAUGGGCUAAAAACUGAACAAUGUCUAGGAUGUAGAACAGAUUCGGACUUCUCCGUUGUUACUAUAAUUUGGACUUGAAAACGGCAUUUCUAAAUCUUGGACUCCACAUGAAAGUUUUAGACCUAUGUCUUAGCUUGCCAUCCAUAUAAGCAGAUCUAAAUCCGAGAUCUACAGCUCCAUAUAUGACCUAAUUACCAAACAGUGUUUCAGUUUGGACUAAACCAACAUCCCUUUUCUAAGCUUCACCCUCUCUUUAUCUUCACAAUUUCAGUAGUUGAAUUCAUCAAUCAAUCCUUUGCUUUAUGUGAUAAACCUGCAUUUAAGAUGAACAUUUACCUUAUAUUAAGGUAUCUUAUAGUAUCAGACUUGUUAUUAUAAAACAUGCUUUAGUUAAAGAGUUAUUAAUACUUCAAGUGCAAAAUGAUGAUAUAAAACCUUGAUAAAAAAGCACUUUUAAGUACUAAUCACUCUUGAUAUUCUUAGUUGGGCCGGUAUGUCAUCCUGCAAACCUGUUGAUACAAUGGCUUCUGUUUCCAAGGUUAGUCUCCAGCCUAGUGGUUUAUACUCAGAUCCCACUCAAUAUCAGCAAAUUGUCGAGGCUCUUUAGUAUCUCACCUUUACUACACCAAACAUUUGUUAUCCUGUCAACUAAGUUUGUCAAUUUAUGCAUGCGCCUACUGAGAGCCAUUGGAAUGCUAUCAAACGUAUUUUACGGUAUUUAAGGUACAUUCUCUUUUGGCCUUCACCUUACUCGAGGCUCCUCUUUAUCAGUACAUGGUUUUACUAAUGCGGACUAGGCGGGGAGUAUUGAUGAUCGAAAAUCUACUAGUGGCUAUAUCGUCUUUCUCAGCAACACUCUCAUCUUAUGGAAAUCUAGUAAGCAAUGCACUGUCGCUCACUCCUCCACUGAAGUAGAAUAUAAGGCCUUAGUUGAUGGUACUACUGAGGUUCUUUGGCUCCGUCAUCUGCUUUCAGAUUUAUGCUUCUCUCCUAGUUCUGUUACCACUAUUUGGUGCGAGAACUUGGGUGCUACUUAUUUGUCUGUUAAUCCGGUGUUUCAUGCGCGUACCAAACAUGUGGAGGUUGAUUAUCACUUUGUUUGUGAUAGAGUUGCCAAAAAAGAGAUACAGAUUCGCUUCAUACCCUCCUAAGACUAAUUAAGUCGCUCCCUCACACUACAUUUUUCUAUUUACGAUCCAAGCUUCAAGUGGACCACCCACCUUCAGCUUGAGGGGGAGUGUUAUGGAAUGUGUUUUAGUUUAGGAAAGAUUGUGUUUUCCUUAUAUAGAGAGUUAUAUUGCGCACUGCACUACAAAGUAACUAGUGUAUUUUGCCCUACUCAUAUAAAUAUGGGAGAUGGCUACUGCAUUAUGUAAGCCUCUCAAUUAUCAAAACCUUAUUUCAAUGUGAGAUUAAUAUUUUUUUAGAUUAUUUAUUUUUAAUUUUUUUAAUUGAUUUUAAUAUUUUUUAUUGUUGUGAUAAAACUAAAUAGUAGUUAUUCAAUGUAAUUCAAAAUAUAAUUGUUUCAUUAACUAUCAUAUAGUUUCAGUUAAAAAAAAAAAACAAACCAAAAUAAAUUUCGGCUAGAAAGUUUCGGUUUUAUUUUGGCCGAGUGUUUUUUUUCCUUUUCAAAAAAUAAAAAAAAUGUUUUUAUGGUCUCAUGAUCCAGGUCGAUCCAAUAUGUUAUUGUCUCAAUAUUUCAAAAAAAAAAGAUAUGUUAAAUUUUUUUAGUCAAACUAUAUUUUUACCAGUCGUCCAAGUUAUAUUUGGAUUUGUCGAGUCGAUAGAGUCAGCUCCCAUAUUUUUACUUAUGUUUGAAAUUUAAAUUGCAUAAUUUCAAGUUAAUUUAUCUUUGGAUUUGAAUUGAAAUUAUAUUUGUUGAAUUAAUAUUUUGAGUUAUAUAUACAUAAAUCCAAGGUUGAUAACUAUGUGUGGUUGGUAUUUGUUGGAAAUUACUUUUUAAAAAUAAUUUUUAAUUGAAAUAUAUAAAAAAUAAUACUUUUUUAAUUAUUUUUUUAUUUUUUAAAAUUGAUAUAUCAAAAUUAUAAAAAAAUAUUAAUUUAAUGUUUUUUUAUAAAAAUUAUUUUGAAAAACAAGCCUUACUGCAGUACCAAAAACAUGCUAAUAAAGAAGAAUAAAAAUUUUGCGUGGCUGGAAUUGUCACCCUCAAUUACACAAAUUACCUUGACUUGGGUUUAUUAAGGUCUGUCUUCCAUAACCCGUGGCUAUGAUUGAUCUGUAUUAUUUAGUUUAUAUAAGGGCAGUGACGCUGGCCAAGAAAAUUAUUCGGGUUCAUAAUCUGUGACAACAAAGUAAAGUAUUUGUUUCUCAUGGCUACUCCCAUCUCUCUUGCCUUUCUCCUCUAUGUUUUUCUUUUUCUUUUUUGCCCUUUAUGCUCUCUGAAGAAAGGGCAUACCGUGGCAGCUAAUGAAACCACAAAAAGUUACUUUCGCAAUGUUAAUGUCAAUUCUCUCUUGCCAUCAAGUGUCUGCAACCAAUCUAACAAAGGUUAGAUCAUGAUUUAGUAUUUUCUGUGUUGUCUUUUAAUAUUGUAUUUUACAUAUUACGAUUUAUUUCUAACUAAUUGUGUGUAUGUGUGUAUUGCAAUUUAGUCCCAGUGGUGUACUCCAUUUGAGAGUUUGAAACUUAAAUCAGUAUAUUUUUUAUUUUUAAAUGAAACGGCAUGUUUUAAGCAAAACGACGUCGUUUCAUGCGUUUUCAAAAAAAAAAAAAGAGACGAAACGGUGCUGUUUUGAGGUGGCACUGUUUCUUCUUCUUCUUCCCAUAGACGUGCAACAGGGGAAGAAAAGUUUUGUUUUUCUUUCCUUGUUUCUUCCUCUCUCCCUCCUUACAUGCCCUGUUAAAACCAAAACCGGACGCAACCCGCAUCUCCUCAUGAUGAGAAGACAGAGAAGUCAUGUCCCGCAAGCUACACCUCCAUUGGCCACCUCUGUCAACGUCGUGGCAAAGCAGGAGGCAUGUGCGCCCCAUUCAUGGGUAGCGAUGGGACGGGGCAGGGUCGACCCCGCUCCCCCUGCCCCUAUAAAUAUUGUCCCGAAAGGAAGAAAGAGGGAGGACAAAAAAUGAGGGGAACGAAUGUGAGAGAGAGGGGGGAAACCAAACAGAAUAGAGAGGGAAGUAGAAGAAGAAAAAAAGACAGAGAGGGGAGAGGGGACAGAAUGAAGAAGACAACAGAGAGGAAGGAGGGAAGAUUAGAAAUAGGGGGAGGAGGAUUUUUGCUUUAAAAAAAAUGAACGGACAAGCAGACGGCGGCGGAGGAAAGUUAAUUUAUCUUUGGAUUUGAAUUGAAAUUAUAUUUGUUGAAUUAAUAUUUUGAGUUAUAUAUACAUAAAUCCAAGGUUGAUAACUAUGUGUGGUUGGUAUUUGUUGGAAAUUACUUUUUAAAAAUAAUUUUUAAUUGAAAUAUAUAAAAAAUAAUACUUUUUUAAUUAUUUUUUUAUUUUUUAAAAUUGAUAUAUCAAAAUUAUAAAAAAAAUAUUAAUUUAAUGUUUUUUUAUAAAAAUUAUUUUGAAAAACAAGCCUUACUGCAGUACCAAAAACAUGCUAAUAAAGAAGAAUAAAAAUUUUUAAUUUUCUGUGUUGUCUUUUAAUAUUGUAUUUUACAUAUUACGAUUUAUUUCUAACUAAUUGUGUGUAUGUGUGUAUUGCAAUUUAGUCCCAGUGGUGUACUCCAUUUGAGAGAUUGAAACUUAAAUCAGUAUAUUUUUUAUUUUUAUUUUUAAUUUCUCAAUUAAUUUCAAUGCUGUAUUUCAGUUCUCAACAAAGCUUCGUCACUAAAAGUGGUAAGCAAGUACGGUCCAUGCACGGUGACUGGAGAUCCGAAAACAUUUCCCUCGGCAGCCGAAAUCCUCCGUCAAGACCAACUCCGAGUGAAAUCAAUUCGAGCUAAGCUUUCCAUGAACUCAAGCACUACUGGUGUUUUUAAUGAGAUGAAGACUACAGUUCCAACCACUCACUUUGGAGGCGCAUAUGCUGUCACCGUAGGUCUUGGCACCCCAAAAAAAGAUUUCUCACUCUUCUUUGAUACUGGUAGUGACCUUACUUGGACCCAAUGCGAGCCAUGUUCAGGGGGUUGCUUUCCACAGAAUGAGGAGAAGUUCGAUCCUACCAAAUCAACCUCUUACAAAAACCUUUCGUGUUCCUCGGAACCGUGCA
rnacentral:lncRNA from 1 species